CCUACGGGAGGCAGCAGUGAGGAAUAUUGGUCAAUGGACGCAAGUCUGAACCAGCCAUGCCGCGUGCAGGAUGACGGCUCUAUGAGUUGUCAACCGCUUUUGUACGAGGGUAAUAUCAGAUACGCGUAUCUGCUUGAAAGUAUCGUACGAAUCAGGAUCGGCUAACUCCGUGCCAGCAGCCGCGGUAAUACGGAGGAUCCAAGCGUUAUCCGGAUUUAUUGGGUUUAAAGGGUGCGUAGGCGGUUUUAUAAGUUAGGGGUGAAAAUUCGGGGCUCAACACCGGACGUGCAUCUAAUACUGGAUGACUAGAGAAUGGGUGAGGUAGGCGGAAUGUAUGGUGUAGCGGUGAAAUGCGUAGAGAUCAUACAGAACACCGAGUGCGAAGGCAGCUUACCAAACUAUAACUGACGUUGAGGCACGAAAGCGUGGGGAGCGAACAGGAUUAGAUACCCGAGUAGUC
rnacentral:rRNA from 1 species